UACGUAGGGUGCGAGCGUUGUCCGGAAUUAUUGGGCGUAAAGAGCUCGUAGGCGGUGUGUCACGUCGUUCGUGAAAACCUGCAGCUUAACUGUGGGCGUGCGGUCGAUACGGGCAUCACUGGAGUUCGGCAGGGGAGACUGGAAUUCCUGGUGUAGCGGUGAAAUGCGCAGAUAUCAGGAGGAACACCCGUGGCGAAGGCGGUUCUCUGGGACGGUACUGACGCUGAGACGCGAAAGCGUGGGGAGCGAACAGG
rnacentral:rRNA from 1 species